rnacentral:rRNA from 1 species
UACGUAGGGUGCAAGCGUUAAUCGGAAUUACCGGGCGUAAAGCGUGCGCAGGCGGCUAUGCAAGACAGAUGUGAAAUCCCCGGGCUCAACCUGGGAACUGCAUUUGUGACUGCAUGGCUAGAGUACGGUAGAGGGGGAUGGAAUUCCGCGUGUAGCAGUGAAAUGCGUAGAUAUCCGGAAGAACACCUGAGGCGAAGGCGGCUUGCUGGGCAUGAUCUGACGCUGAGGCGCGAAAGCGUGGGGAGCAAACAGG